rnacentral:rRNA from 1 species
UCCCCUAGUAACUGCGAGUGAAGCGGGAAAAGCUCAAAUUUAAAAUCUGGCGGUCUCUGGCCGUCCGAGUUGUAAUCUAGAGAAGUAAUGCCCGUGCUGGACCGUGUAUAAGUCUCCUGGGAUGGGGCGUCAUAGAGGGUGAGAAUCCCGUCUUUGACACGGACUACCAGUGCAUUGUGGUAUGCUCUCAAAGAGUCGAGUUGUUUGGGAAUGCAGCUCAAAAUGGGUGGUAAAUUCCAUCUAAAGCUAAAUAUUGGCGAGAGACCGAUAGCGAACAAGUACCGUGAGGGAAAGAUGAAAAGAACUUUGGAAAGAGAGUUAAACAGUACGUGAAAUUGCUGAAAGGGAAACGCUUGAAGUCAGUCGCGUUGGCCAGGGAUCAGCCUUGCUCUUGCAUGGUGUACUUUCUGGUUGACGGGUCAGCAUCAAUUUUGACUGCUGGAAAAGGGCCUUGGGAAUGUAGCAGCUUUGGCUGUGUUAUAGCCCCUGGUCGCAUACAGUGGUUGGGAUUGAGGAACUCAGCACGCCGCAAGGCCGGGUUUCGACCACGUUCGUGCUUAGGAUGCUGGCAUAAUGGCUUUAAGCGACCCGUCUUGAAACACGGACCAAGGAGUCUAACAUGCCUGCGAGUAUUUGGGUGGAAAACCCGAGUGCGCAAUGAAAGUGAAAGUUGAGAUCCCUGUCGUGGGGAGCAUCGACGCCCGGACCAGAACUUUUGGGACGGAUCCGCGGUGGAGCAUGUAUGUUGGGACCCGAAAGAUGGUGAACUAUGCCUGAAUAGGGUGAAGCCAGAGGAAACUCUGGUGGAGGCUCGUAGCGAUUCUGACGUGCAAAUCGAUCGUCAAAUUUGGGUAUAGGG